UGCCUGAGGUCUAGGGAGUCUGGGAUA
rnacentral:piRNA from 2 species